GACGAACGCUGGCGGCGUGCUUAACACAUGCAAGUCGAACGGUAAGGCCCUUCGGGGUACACGAGUGGCGAACGGGUGAGUAACACGGGGGUGAUCUGCCCUGCACUUCGGGAUAAGCCUGGGAAACUGGGUCUAAUACCGGAUAGGACUCCUGGCUUCAUGGUUGGGGGUGUAAAGCUUUUGCGGUGUGGGAUGGGCCCGCGGCCUAUCAGCUUGUUGGUGGGGUGGUGGCCUACCAAGGCGACGACGGGUAGCCGGCCUGAGAGGGUGACCGGCCACACUGGGACUGAGAUACGGCCCAGACUCCUACGGGAGGCAGCAGUGGGGAAUAUUGCACAAUGGGCGCAAGCCUGAUGCAGCGACGCCGCGUGAGGGAUGACGGCCUUCGGGUUGUAAACCUCUUUCAGUAGGGACGAAGCGCAAGUGACGGUACCUACAGAAGAAGGACCGGCCAACUACGUGCCAGCCGCCGCGGUAA
rnacentral:rRNA from 1 species